AUCUAUGGCCAUACCACCCUGAAUAAGGCACCUGAUCUUGUCUGAUCUUCAAAGUUAAGCAGGGUCAGGCCUGUUAGUACUUGGAUGGGAAACCGCCUGGGAAUACCAGGUGCUGUAGGCA
ensembl:rRNA 5S_rRNA 5S ribosomal RNA